rnacentral:rRNA from 1 species
UACGUAGGGUGCAAGCGUUGUCCGGAAUUAUUGGGCGUAAAGAGCUCGUAGGCGGUCUGUCGCGUCGGCUGUGAAAUCCCGAGGCUCAACCUCGGGUCUGCAGUCGAUACGGGCAAACUGGAGUGUUGCAGGGGAGACUGGAAUUCCUGGUGUAGCGGUGAAAUGCGCAGAUAUCAGGAGGAACACCGGUGGCGAAGGCGGGAUCCUGGGCCAGUACUGACGCUGAGGAGCGAAAGCGUGGGGAGCAAACGGG